rnacentral:rRNA from 1 species
ACGGCGGCCGUAACUAUAACGGUCCUAAGGUAGCGAAAUUCCUUGUCGGGUAAGUUCCGACCUGCACGAAUGGCGUAAUGAUGGCCAGGCUGUCUCCACCCGAGACUCAGUGAAAUUGAACUCGCUGUGAAGAUGCAGUGUACCCGCGGCAAGACGGAAAGACCCCGUGAACCUUUACUAUAGCUUGACACUGAACAUUGAGCCUUGAUGUGUAGGAUAGGUGGGAGGCUUUGAAGUGUGGACGCCAGUCUGCAUGGAGCCGACCUUGAAAUACCACCCUUUAAUGUUUGAUGUUCUAACGUUGACCCGUAAUCCGGGUUGCGGACAGUGUCUGGUGGGUAGUUUGACUGGGGCGGUCUCCUCCUAAAGAGUAACGGAGGAGCACGAAGGUUGGCUAAUCCUGGUCGGACAUCAGGAGGUUAGUGCAAUGGCAUAAGCCAGCUUGACUGCGAGCGUGACGGCGCGAGCAGGUGCGAAAGCAGGUCAUAGUGAUCCGGUGGUUCUGAAUGGAAGGGCCAUCGCUCAACGGAUAAAAGGUACUCCGGGGAUAACAGGCUGAUACCGCCCAAGAGUUCAUAUCGACGGCGGUGUUUGGCACCUCGAUGUCGGCUCAUCACAUCCUGGGGCUGAAGUAGGUCCCAAGGGUAUGGCUGUUCGCCAUUUAAAGUGGUACGCGAGCUGGGUUUAGAACGUCGUGAGACAGUUCGGUCCCUAUCUGCCGUGGGCGCUGGAGAACUGAGGGGGGCUGCUCCUAGUACGAGAGGACCGGAGUGGACGCAUCACUGGUGUUCGGGUUGUCAUGCCAAUGGCACUGCCCGGUAGCUAAAUGCGGAAGAGAUAAGUGCUGAAAGCAUCUAAGCACGAAACUUGCCCCGAGAUGAGUUCUCCCUGACCCUUUAAGGGUCCUGAAGGAACGUUGAAGACGACGACGUUGAUAGGCCGGGUGUGUAAGCGCAGCGAUGCGUUGAGCUAACCGGUACUAAUGAACCGUGAGGCUUAACCUUACAACGCCGAAG